UACGUAGGUGACAAGCGUUGUCCGGAUUUACUGGGCGUAAAGAGCGCGCAGGCGGUCGUUCAAGUCGAGUGUGAAAGCCCCCGGCUCAACUGGGGAGGGUCACUCGAUACUGAUCGACUCGAAGGCAGGAGAGGGUAGUGGAAUUCCCGGUGUAGUGGUGAAAUGCGUAGAUAUCGGGAGGAACACCAGUGGCGAAGGCGACUACCUGGCCUGUUCUUGACGCUGAGGAGCGAAAGCGUGGGGAGCGAACGAGG
rnacentral:rRNA from 1 species